AUACCUUUCUCGGCCUUUUGGCUAAGAUCAAGUGUAGUAUCUGUUCUUAUCAGUUUAAUAUCUGAUAUGUGGGUCAUCGACUUACACGAUAUUAACUCAAUUUUUCUAGGGAGAAGUUCACUACGGUAGCUUGCUAUCGGGACUUUCAAGUGUCGCCUUGGUGUUGCACUACAACCUUGGCCUGGCACACCCCAC
rnacentral:snRNA from 1 species